rnacentral:rRNA from 1 species
GAUGAACGCUGGCGGCGUGCCUAAUACAUGCAAGUCGAGCGAAUGGAUUAAGAGCUUGCUCUUAUGAAGUUAGCGGCGGACGGGUGAGUAACACGUGGGUAACCUGCCCAUAAGACUGGGAUAACUCCGGGAAACCGGGGCUAAUACCGGAUAACAUUUUGAACCGCAUGGUUCGAAAUUGAAAGGCGGCUUCGGCUGUCACUUAUGGAUGGACCCGCGUCGCAUUAGCUAGUUGGUGAGGUGACGGCUCACCAAGGCAACGAUGCGUAGCCGACCUGAGAGUGUGAUCUGCCACCCUGGGACUGAGACACGGCCCAGACUCCUACGGGAGGCAGCAGUAGGGAAGCUUCCGCAAUGGACGAAAGGCUGACGGAGCAACGCCGCGUGAGUGAUGAAGGCUUUCGGGUCGUAAAACUCUGUUGUUAGGGAAGAACAAGUGCUAGUUGAAUAAGCUGGCACCUUGACGGUACCUAACCAGAAAGCCACGGCUAACUACGUGCCAGCCGCCGUAAUAC